rnacentral:tRNA from 1 species
ACCCAAAUAGUUCAAACAGCUGGGGGAGCGCUGGACUAUAGAUCGAAAGGUCCCUGGUUCGAUCCCGGGAUUCGGCA